rnacentral:lncRNA from 1 species
CACUCCUGCCUGGAUGGACGCGGGGCUCGGGCCUGCAGCAGGGGCAGCUACUCCCACUGCAGGGGGAGGCCGCGGGGAGCCGCCCGGGUGCUCCUGCCUCCCGCGACCUUGCGGGCCCGGGGCUCACACAGCCAGGACCUCGACCCACCACGUGCGGAGCCCAGGAGGCUCGUCCCCAAAACCAGAGAAGAGCCACUAGGCUGCACGCACACCGGCUCCGUCUGGCCAGGCCAGCAGGCUCCCCGGGCACACGAGGGACCCCGUCCUCCCCGCCUCCCCAGAAGGAGACUUAGGAGCCUGAGGGCGGGGCACCCACGGUGGGUGAGCGCCCACACACAGCACCCCUUCUAUCGGGGAAGCCCUGUUCUGGCGAAGAAGGGAUCUGCACAGGAGGCUGGGUCGGGAUUCAGAGUCGGGUUGUGUCCCACGCGGGGAAAUGGCGGUGCCCUCUGCUAGUGGUGCCCCCGCGAGAGGAAGGUCCGCGCCAGGGAGUACAGAGGAGCCAGGCUCCUGGAGAAACGGGGCCCGGCUUCCGGGACCGGGUCGGCAGCUGGGGGGCGGGGUGCGGGGCAGGCGAGAGAAGGCCCCCACGCCGCACGGUUGGGGGCUGGACUUGGCGACAGGACCCUUCUCCCCGCUUCUGCACACAGCUCCACGCGGCUCCAGGUGAGCAAGGACACGUGAUGUCUCCUGGCACCCUGUGUGUGGGUCUGAGGGGACGGGGGCGGCCUGGGCUUGGGGUUCAGGGUCCCCCAGCCCCUGCAGGGCCACUCGGGAAACAGCAGAUGAGGAGUGCACGUGAAUAUCCCGGACUCUGGGAGGAGACAGACGCCUGGGGGGGGCUAAGGAUGGGGAGCCACGUCGCAUGGGCUUUUAGGGUGUCAGUGGAGGUCACAGAGGCCAAGUCACUUGCACGCUGCUCCACAGCCGUGACCCUUCCAGGACACUCAUCCACCUGGCACCCCCGGCGCCCGCUCCAAUGCCAAGGUCCCAGAAAUCCCG